rnacentral:rRNA from 1 species
AGUGAACGCUGGCGGUAGGCCUAACACAUGCAAGUCGAACGGCAGCACAGUAAGAGCUUGCUCUUACGGGUGGCGAGUGGCGGACGGGUGAGGAAUACAUCGGAAUCUACUUUUUCGUGGGGGAUAACGUAGGGAGACUUACGCUAAUACCGCAUACGACCUACGGGUGAAAGCAGGGGAUCUUCGGACCUUGCGCGAUUGAAUGAGCCGAUGUCGGAUUAGCUAGUUGGCGGGGUAAAGGCCCACCAAGGCGACGAUCCGUAGCUGGUCUGAGAGGAUGAUCAGCCACACUGGAACUGAGACACGGUCCAGACUCCUACGGGAGGCAGCAGCGGGGAAUAUUGGACAAUGGGCGCAAGCCUGAUCCAGCCAUACCGCGUGGGUGAAGAAGGCCUUCGGGUUGUAAAGCCCUUUUGUUGGGAAAGAAAAGCAGCAGGUUAAUACCCCGCUGUUCUGACGGUACCCAAAGAAUAAGCACCGGCUAACUUCGUG